rnacentral:lncRNA from 1 species
CACACUCCCUUCAUGAGUAGCUUGUGAACUACUACCAUUUGGCAAGCUUACAGGGCAGCAGCUAAUUUUUCGCACAUCGAUCAUCCAAUCUAAUCUCCCUAUUAUAUGGUGUGUUGCCCCCGUAUCAAAAAUCCAAGAAUACUCACCAGAGAGUCGAUCCUUGGGUGUCGGCAGAUUGAGAAGAUCAAGAAUGUUUUGCCAUUGUUCCGGAGUUAUGUUCGACAAUCCAGCCUUCUCUGCGGUGUUAGACGGGUGUCCCUGGGUCUGUUGCGGUUGUGUCGAGGUGCUAGCAGUGGCUUUGUUUGCCCUGGCAGCCAUGCCUCCUCGCCCUCUCCC